rnacentral:rRNA from 1 species
CAGUCGCCGCGGUAAUACGAAGGGGGCUAGCGUUGCUCGGAAUGACUGGGCGUAAAGGGCGCGUAGGCGGCGAUCAAAGUCAGGCGUGAAAUUCCUGGGCUCAACCUGGGGCUGCGCUUGAUACUUGGUUGCUUGAGUGGGGAAGAGGGUCGUGGAAUUCCCAGUGUAGAGGUGAAAUUCGUAGAUAUUGGGAAGAACACCGGUGGCGAAGGCGGCGACCUGGUCCUUGACUGACGCUGAGGCGCGAAAGCGUGGGGAGCAAACAGGAUUAGAUACCCGCGUAGUCCCUGUCUCUUAUACA